GUCCACGCUGUAAACUAUGUUAACUAGCCGUUUGAGGAAUUGACCCCUUGAGUGGUGUAGCCAACGCGUUAAGUUAACCGCCUGGGGAGUACGGUCGCAAGAUUAAACUCAAAGGAAUUGACGGGGACCCGCACAAGCGGUGGAUUAUGUGGUUCAAUUCGAUGCAACGCGAAGAACCUUACCUGGUCUUGACAUCCCGGUACGUCCCUGGAAACAGGGAUCGCCUCUUCGGAGGAGCCGGAGACAGGUGCUGCAUGGCUGUCGU
rnacentral:rRNA from 1 species